rnacentral:rRNA from 1 species
UGUGGGGACGCAGAAGGAGAGCACUACCUGGAAUGGAAUCCAGGGGCAAGCACAGGAGGGGUACGGCUGGAAAAACCGCCGUGCAACCCAAAGGUGUGACGCAUACCGAACUAAAGUAGGGAAAUGUGUGAGCCGGCUGCCGAGAAAAGCCGCUAUUGUUUGUACUGUACCCGUACCGUAAACCGACACAGGUGGAUGAGGAGAGAAUCCUAAGGCCGACGGAAGAAGCAUUGCUAAGGAACUCGGCAAAAUGACCCUGUAACUUCGGGAGAAAGGGUGCCUCGAAAGAGGCCGCAGAGAAUAGGCCCAAGCAACUGUUUAGCAAAAACACAGGUCUAUGCAAAACCGCAAGGUGAAGUAUAUGGGCUGACGCCUGCCCGGUGCUGGAAGGUUAAGGGGAGAUGUCAGGAGACGAAGCAUCGAACUUAAGCCCCAGUAAACGGCGGCCGUAACUAUAACGGUCCUAAGGUAGCGAAAUUCCUUGUCGGGUAAGUUCCGACCCGCACGAAAGGCGUAAUGAUUUGGGCGCUGUCUCGGCAAUGCAUCCGGUGAAAUUGAAGUGCCAGUGAAGAUGCUGGCUACCCGCGCCAGGACGGAAAGACCCCAUGGAGCUUUACUCCAGCUUGAUACUGGGAUUCGGUAUUGUAUGUACAGGAUAGGUGGGAGGCUGAGAAAUGGUGACGCCAGUCGCCAUGGAGCCGCUGUUGGGAUACCACCCUUGCAGUACUGGAUUUCUAACCAGCAGCCGUGAUCCGGCUGGGGGACAAUGUCAGGUGGGGAGUUUGACUGGGGCGGUCGCCUCCGAAAGGGUAUCGGAGGCGCUCAAAGGUUCCCUCAGAAUGGUCGGAAACCAUUCGAAGAGUGCAAAGGCAGAAGGGAGCUUGACUGCGACACCGACGGGUGGGGCAGGUACGAAAGUAGGACUUAGUGAUCCGGUGGUAUUAAGUGGGAAUGCCAUCGCUCAACGGAUAAAAGCUACCCUGGGAUAACAGGCUUAUCACUCCCAAGAGUUCACAUCGACGGAGUGGUUUGGCACCUCGAUGUCGGCUCAUCGCAUCCUGGGGCUGUAGUAGGUCCCAAGGGUUGGGCUGUUCGCCCAUUAAAGCGGUACGCGAGCUGGGUUCAGGACGUCGUGAGACAGUUCGGUCCCUAUCCGGCGUGGGCGUAGGAUAUUUGAGAGGAGCUGACCUUAGUACGAGAGGACCGGGUUGGACUGACCUCUGGUGCACCGGUUGUCAUGCCAAUGGCACAGCCGGGUAGCCAAGUCGGGAAGGGAUUAACGCUGAAGGCAUCUAAGCGUGAAGCCCCCCUCAAGAUGAGAUAUCCCCCGCAUAAGCGGUAAGACCCCUUGAAGACGACGAGGUAGAUAGGGCAGAGGUGGAAGUGCAGUAAUGUAUGGAGCUGACUGCUACUAAUAGGUCGAAGGCC